rnacentral:lncRNA from 1 species
CUGCGUCUUUUCCGUUCUUUCCUUUAUUCCAUUAGGAAACAGACUAACAAACUUGGACCGAAUCCUAAGCCACGAUCCACUUCCAUCGUGCCAUCCCACGAUUGAGAUCACGGCCUGGUCCUUCUACUAGACGCACCCCACGUGAACGCAGCACAUGUCAGGUUCUUUUAUUCUGCUACGUACAAGAUGAAAAUACAGACUAAUGGGCACGUACAGGUACAGAACAUGUUUACGUGCACUAGACUUCAGUUGACACAGAAAACCUACAUGAUAAAACUGAACAAACUUGACAGCAGCAACAUUCUCUCCCUCAAUUUUGGUUCAUGUUGCUCACUGCCGUGACCCCAGCUUCUUCCUCAUCUCCUGAAACUUCACUCGCCCCAAUGACUUAGUCAAGAUGUCGGCCAACUGAUCAUCAGUUCGCACAUGCUCAAUAUCAAUGUCACCAGUCUCCACCUUCUCUCUCACAAAAUGAUAUCUCAAAUCAAUGUGUUUGCUUCUAUCGUGAAAGACCGGAUUUUUGCUGAGUGAGAUCGCUGACUUAUUAUCAACCUUCAGCACCACCUUAUCUGUCUCUCUUCCCAACAGGUUCGCGAGCAGCCUCACCAACCAAAUACCUUGACAUGUCGCUGCCGUAGCAGCAACAUACUCAGCCUCACAUGAAGAAAGGGUCACAAUCUUUUGCUUCUGUGAGGACCAGCUGACCGGGUUUUCACCAAGAUAGAACAACACACCAGAAGUACUUUUCCUAGUAUCCAAGUCUCCGGCAUGAUCACUAUUGCUGUACCCAAUCAGUUUUCCAUUUCCACCCUUCUUGUACAUACAGCCCAAGUCCAAAGUACCUCGCACAUACCUGAGAAUGUGCCUCACCGCUGCCAUGUGCUCCGACGUGGGUCUCUCCAUGAAACGACUUACUAUACCAACUGCAUAACAUAUAUCUGGCCGUGUAUGCACAAGGUAUCGCAGACUACCAACAAUGCUGCGAUAAUAUGUGGAAUCAACGAGUGGAGCAUCACUUACUUUUCUUAUCUUCAGUCGUUGUUCCAUCGAUGUCGGAGAGGGGUUGCAAUUUUCCAUUUGGCGCUUCUCCAAAAUUUUCCGAGCAUAAGCAGAUUGAGAGAGAGUUGUACCAUUAGGGCCUUGUUUCACUUCAAUCCCAAGGUAAAAACUCAACAAACCGAGGUCACUCAUCUUGAAUUCUUUCUUCAUUUGUGACUUGAAUGCUUCUAUCUCAGUCUUGCUGCCUCCGGUAAUGAUCAAAUCAUCAACAUAAACACCAACAAGAAGACCUGAAUUACCUCCCGACUUCUUGUAAACAACAUGCUCGGUUGGACAUUUUUCAAAACCCAAAGCUUGGAGAGUAGCAUCCAACUUUGCAUUCCAAGCACGAGGGGCUUGGUGCAGACCAUAGAGGGCUUUGUGCAGCUUGUAGACCUUGUUCUCUUCUCCCUUGACAGCAAAACCAGGAGGUUGUGACACAUAAACCUCCUCUUUAAGUUCUCCAUUCAAGAAAGCAGAUUUCACAUCGAUGUGAUGGAUUUCCCAAUCCAUAUGAGCUGCUAAUGCGAUUAGGAGACGCAUGGUUUCUAUCCGUGCAACAUGAGCAAAUACUUCAUCAAAGUCUAUGCCUUGCCUUUGCACAUAUCCCUUUGCUACUAACCUUGCUUUGUGCUUUACCACAUUUCCUUCGGUGUCUUUCUUCAACUUGAACACCCAUUUGAGACCAAUUUCUGUCUGACCUCGUGGAAGCUUCACAAGUUGCCAAGCCUGAUUGCUCGCAAUGGACUCGAGCUCCUCUUUCAUAGCUUGCUGCCAACAUGCCUUUUUCUCAGCUUCCUGGAAUGUCGUCGGCUCCUCCAUACCCAUCAAACACAGCCCGGAGUACUCAAGCUGCAUCUCGUUGGUUUCAUCAUAUAUUUCUUCCAAAAACCGCUUCCCUUGGGGUCCCACGGACGAGCUUGAGGUGCUGGUAGUGCCCUGCGACCCAAUGGAACCAAGUCCAGGAAGUGUUGGCGAAGGAGUCUCAAAAAUAGGAGAUUUCACUGCCGUGGCAGGGGUUCUUGCUGCAGUUUCUGCUACCACGGCAGUGGUUCUGACUGGAGUUCCUGCUGUCACGACAUUGUUUUUCCCUGAUGAUUCUGUUGCCACGGCAGGAGUUUCACUGUCCAGUCCAAUUGAGAAGGUGCUCCACGCGGCUUCAUUCGCCUGCUGCUCUGCCCCUUUGCUCGACCAAUCCCACUGUCUUUGCUCAUCAAACACAACGUCUCUUGACACAUGUAGCUUCUGAGUUUCUGGAUCAUACAUGCGGUACGCCUUGGAUUUUGCUUCAUAACCAAUGAACACCAUGGGAGAGCUCCUAUCAGCCAAAUUGGGGAGAUGCCCACCUACUUUCUUCACAUGUCCAACACACCCGAAAGUGCGUAGGUGCUGAACACUUGGCUUCUUCCUGUACCAUGCUUCGUAUGGAGUCACACCACUAACACUCUUUGUGGUAGCACGGUUUAACAAAUACACCGCCGUUGUAGCCGCUUCACCCCAAAAUUUGGCCGGUACCUUCAUACUUUUCAGCAAGCUCCUGGUCAUACCUACCACUGUUUGAUUUCGACGCUCCACUACACCGUUUUGCUGCGGGGAAUAUGGCGCUGUCAAGUGGUGGUUUACACCCAAUUCCUCACAGUAUUCAACGAACUGAUUUGAGGUGAACUCGCCCCCACGAUCAGUCCUCAAAACCUUCAGCUUGCAACCUGAUUCCAACUCGGAUGCGGCCUGAAACUUCUGAACAGCAGCAAAAACUUCGUCCUUUGACCUCAACAACACAAUCCACAUGAAACGAGGCAUGUCGUCUACAAGUAACAGAAAAUACUUCUUUCCUCCCGGUGUUGCUGGAGUGAUUGGGCCGCACAAUUAACCAUGCACCAGCUGCAAUUUAUCCUCUGCACGAAAACGAGCUUGACGGGGAAAAGGGUUUCGGUGUUGCUUCCCUAGCAUACAACCAUCACAUACUUGAUGAACCUGAUCGAGCAUUGGUAGGCCCUUUACCAUACCUUCUCUUCCCAUCUUUUUCAGUGCAUGAAAAUUUACAUGACCAUAUCGAGCGUGCCAUCGCCAUGCCUCGUCAUCUUGACGAGAGAGCAAACAAACCGGUUGUGCCGGCUGUAUGUCAAGAAUGUAUAAUCUGUUAUUUGCAUGUUUAACUCUUGCAAACAAUUUUCUCUGCUGAUCCAGUACCACCAUGACUCCAUCUUCAGCUGAGUACUUGCAGCCUAUCUCAUCUAGCUGACCCAAACUAAUGAUGUUGCUUUUCAGCCGAGGAAUGUAAUAAACCUCGGUUAGGACACGGUGCUCUCCGCUCUGAGUUUCCAUUAGUACUGAACCUCUCCCACAAAUUUCAACUUUGGAACCAUCACCAAAACGUACAGUACCUUUCACAGAUUCAUCCAACUCCGCAAACUUGCUGAUGGACCCAGUCAUAUGGUUACUAGCUCCAGUAUCCAGGUACCAACUCAGAUUUUGUUCACCGGUCAGCUUCGGGAUCACCCUCUCUUCAUUCAACAGGACCUGCUCGCCACCCUUAUCAGAGGCGAUGACCACGUCACACACUUCGGCCAUCAGCAGCCCAGGCUCAUCCUCUUCAUCAUUAGCAGCAAGGUGAGCUCGCUCUCUCUUGGGCUCAGGACAAUCUGAAGAAAAAUGCCCCAUCUUCUCACAGUUCCAACACUUCACCUUGGUGAUGUCGAACUUACGGUGUUUCUUUUUGCUUCCCACCGUUGUUGUUGCCCUUCUUGCCGCCACCACUACCGCUACCACCGGCGGCACUGUUUCCAGGACAUUGACCCUGGUUCGGCUUCCCCUUACUGCCGCUUCCGCCGGCGCCGGGACUGCCUUUCUUCUUCUGGAAAAAGGACUCAAGGGCCUUGGUCAUAAGCAACAGUUGAUCAUCCUUGCUGCCGCGACCAUCAUAGCGGUCAGACUCGGUUUCCUCAAACGUAUGCAGACGGACCACUGCCUCAGCUACCGUCAUCUUGCUCAUGUCCGCCCACUGCUCAAUAGUGCCAAUGAUCUGCGAGAAACGCCUCGGCAUCGCUGCAAACAAACUCUGAACAACUGUCCUCUCUGUUACCUUCUCUCCCAAAGACCUGAUCUCGCCCACCAGGGUGGUAAGGCGUCGAGAGAACGAUGACACGUCCUCCCCAUCGGCCAUAGUCAACUGAUCAAGUCGGCGCAGCAGCGACUGGAUCCGCGCUUGCACCACGCGGUCUUCUCCGACCCGCAUCGUGCGGAUUGCAGCCCACGCCUCACGCGCGGUCUCGUACUCGGCAAGGAUCAUCAUGACGUCGUCAGGGAUAGAUUGUGAGAUCGCCGCCAUCGCACCUUGAUUCUUCUCCUCGUCGAACUCGGCGUCAACCUCGACCGCCGACCACACGCCCAUCGGGCGCAUGAUGAUCUUCAUCUUCGUCGCCCACAACUGAUAGUUGGACUCCGUCAGCUGCGGGUACUGGACAGGAACGUUUGUGGCCCUCUGCACCGGACGCACCAUGAUGGAACCGCCCUCCUCUGAGCUGCCAUCGCCGCCGGCGCGCUUCUUGGGCGGCUGAUACUUUGCGCUGCCUGAGAGAUCCUUGGCCGCGUCCUUCUCCGCCAUCUGCUUCACGCCGCCGCCACUGCUGCGCCUCCAAUCACCGCUGCCGUAUCGCCACCAAACCUCGUGACCAAGCUCUGUAUACCAAUUGUUGCUUGUCAGGCCGGAUCACACAACGACGACGACGACGAACACACGCACGCACGCGAGAGAGGCACACACGAACACCCGGUGGGAAGAGCAGUUUUGCGACGCGCUUAACCUGCGUCUUUUCCGUUCUUUCCUUUAUUCCAUUAGGAAACAGACUAACAAACUUGGACCGAAUCCUAAGCCACGAUCCACUUCCAUCGUGCCAUCCCACGAUUGAGAUCACGGCCUGGUCCUUCUACUAGACGCACCCCACGUGAACGCAGCACAUGUCAGGUUCUUUUAUUCUGCUACGUACAAGAUGAAAAUACAGACUAAUGGGCACGUACAGGUACAGAACGUGUUUACGUGCACUAGACUUCAGUUGAAACAGAAAACCUACAUGAUA